rnacentral:tRNA from 1 species
GCAUUAGCAUAGUGGUUAGUGACCCUGACUACUGAGCCAAAGGUCCCGGGUUCGAUUCCCGGCUGGGGCA